CACCUCCAGGUCAGGCGCCUUCAGGUCGGACGCCUUCAGGUCGGGCGCCUUCAGUCACAUACUGGCGAUGCGUUCACGUAUUUCGGGGCGAUCUAUUUUUUCCCCAACACUACCCUCCGACUUCUGAGUUUAAGCUGCUUACGAGCUCGAGCGAGGAAAGUAGUUGCCUUUAUUGUACUAGUAGGGGUCAGGUAGCUUUAAAUUAUUCCGGCGUUUCGCGUGCUUCGGGGCAUCUUUAAUGAGAGAAGACGGGGCCACGUCCUUUCACUUUUCGAGAUUGCUUCACGUCGUGGGCUUAUGAUGAGGUUGCGGGAUCCAACGGGAUGCCACCUCGAUUCGGCUUUUGAGGUGUCGAUCCAGGUUGGUAUGUCGCUUCGAUUUUCAGAGCUGACACAUGGCGCGAUC
rnacentral:lncRNA from 1 species